rnacentral:rRNA from 1 species
CGGACCGGCGCACGGUGAGUAACGCGUAUGCAACCUACCUAUCAGGAGGGGAUAACCCGGCGAAAGUCGGACUAAUACCGCAUAAAACAGGGGUUCCACAUGGAAAUAUUUGUUAAAGAAUUAUCGCUGAUAGAUGGGCAUGCGUUCCAUUAGAUAGUUGGUGAGGUAACGGCUCACCAAGUCCACGAUGGAUAGGGGUUCUGAGAGGAAGGUCCCCCACACUGGUACUGAGACACGGACCAG